rnacentral:misc_RNA from 1 species
GGUUCGAUUAUGGCUCAGAUUGAACGCUGGCGGGAUGUCUUAUUACGCAAGUCGAACGGCAGCACGGACUUCGGUCUGGUGGCGAGCGGCGAACGGGUGAGUAAUGUGUCGGAACGUGCCUAGUAGCGGGGGAUAACUACGCGAAAGCGUAGCUAAUACCGCAUAUUGCCUCGGGGAAAGCGGGGGGACCUUUCGGGCCUCGCACUAUUAGGAGCGGCCGAUAUCGGAUUAGCUAGUUGGUGGGGUAACGGCUCACUGAGGCGACGAUCCGUAGCUGGUUUGAGAGGACGACCAGCCACACUGGGACUGAGACACGGCCCAGACUCCUACGGGAGGCAGCAGUGGGGAAUUUUGGACAAUGGGGAAACCCCGAUCCAGCCAUCCCGCGUGUGCGAUGAAGGCCUUCGGGUUGUAAAGCACUUUUGGCAGGAAAAGAAAACGGCACGGGAUAAUACCCCGUGCAACUGACGGUAUUCGCAGAAUAAGCACCGCUAACUACGUGCCAGCAGCCGCGGUAAUACGUAGGGUGCAAGCGUUAAUCGGAAUUACUGGGCGGGGCGUGCGCAGGCGGUUCGGAAAAAGAAAGAUGUGAAAUCCCAGAGCUAACUUUGGAACUGUAUUUUUAACUGAGCUAGAGUGUGUCAGAGGGAGGUGGAAUUCUGCGUGUAGCAGUGAAAUGCGUAGAUAUGCGGAGGAACACCGAUGGCGAAGGCAGCCUCUGGGAUAACACUGACGCUCAUGCACGAAAGCGUGGGGAGCAAACAGGAUUAGAUACCCCUGGUAGUCCACGCCCUAAACGAUGUCAACUAGCUGUUGGGGCCUUCGGGCCUUGGCAGCGCAGCCAACGCGUGAAGUUGACCGCCUGGGAGUACGGUCGCAAGAUUAAAACUCAAAGGAAUUGACGGGGACUCGCACAAGCGGUGGAUGAUGUGGAUUAAUCUGAUGCAACGCGAAAACCUUACCUACCUCGAUGGCGUCUGGAAUCCCGAAGAGAUUUGGGAGGUGCUCGCAAGAGAACCGGAACACAGGUGCUGCAUGGCUGUCGUCAGCUCGUGUCGUGAGAUGCUGGGUUAAGUCCCGCAACGAGCGCAACCCUUGUCAUUAGUUGCU